AACGAGCGCUGGCGGCAUGCCUAACACAUGCAAGUCGAACGAGACCUUCGGGUCUAGUGGCGCACGGGUGCGUAACGCGUGGGAACCUGCCCUUAGGUUCGGAAUAACUCCCCUAAAGGGGUGCUAAUACCGGAUAAUGUCUUCGGACCAAAGAUUUAUCGCCUUUGGAUGGGCCCGCGUUGGAUUAGCUAGUUGGUAGGGUAAAAGCCUACCAAGGCGACGAUCCAUAGCUGGUCUGAGAGGAUGAUCAGCCACACUGGGACUGAGACACGGCCCAGACUCCUACGGGAGGCAGCAGUGGGGAAUAUUGGACAAUGGGCGAAAGCCUGAUCCAGCAAUGCCGCGUGAGUGAUGAAGGCCUUAGGGUUGUAAAGCUCUUUUACCCGGGAUGAUAAUGACAGUACCGGGAGAAUAAGCUCCGGCUAACUCCGUG
rnacentral:rRNA from 1 species